GGGAUGUACUUACGCAGGUGGCCAUUAGAACUGCAAAAUCACGACAGUGUGAUUUCAAACCACGGUGAUGCAGGCUUGGGUUCUGGCCGCCAUGUUGAGACAGAAACCGCAACUUUUGCCAUGAUUCUGUCAAACUCAGCGCUCCGAGCUGUUCUGCUAGAACCUUGACGAUGUUUGGAUCAUCUUACUUUGCUCUUUCAGAAUGAGCCUGGUGGGCUUUUAUUCAGGUUCUGAUUUUUUUCUUUUAAAGAACUAGAGUUUUAACUUCAUAUUAGUGGUAGCUUUUGAGUUUGAUCCUCACGCAAGUUGGAACCCUGUUUGCUUAAGCAGAGUAGAAAAGCUGAAGAAUCCUCGUUCCUUACAGUGGUCUUUCUGCUGUUUAAAAUACACAGAGAUUAUCUCAGCACCUUGCUUGUGUGUGUGGCUCAGUUCGCAUUUUCAAAAUCCUGCUGCUUCAGAAAUCUAGAGUACCAGGUAGGACUCCUUCUAGAUCUUGAUCUGAGCAGAAAACCUCAUGUGUGUAUUUAUAUUCUGAAUGCCCCUCCCCUUGACCCUGAAUAAGUCGACCUGAAUGAUAGGAACCCCAGAAGCCAACCCUAAAGGGUGUUCAAUUUGGGAUGGGAACCCAAAUGCCAAAGGGAAGUGGAGUCCCUCCCAGGUCCCACUCUGAGUCCAGGUGAGUUCACCUGUGGCUCAAAGUGCCUGGCCCCCAAGCCAGGAGUGACCUUUGGGUGAUUUGCAGCCGUGGGGGAAGGGAAAGGACGGCACCCUGCCACCCCAACCCCCUUGUAGACUUAGCAGCCUCCGCCUCUUAUCCUGGUCCUCUGUGGCAUGUGGCUCUGCCAGCCACUUAGCUUUUGGCUCUCUGAACUUUUGGCUAGAAUCUCAGACCACUGGUCCCAAACCUGGAGGGGCAGUUCCAGCCAUGUGGCGUGGACAUCCUUGCUGUCUCUCUGGAGAUUCUGAGCAUCUUCAGAGGGAAAGGGGGCAGAGUCCCCAUCUCCAGGAUAAACCUCUGAAAUGUAGGGCAGCCCUCCAGGUGCUUAGAGAGCCUGCCCUGUGUGUCCGCCAAGCCUGGCAGUUUUUAAAGUUUUUUGAAAUGUUUUGAUACUUUUUGAUACCAUUUGCUAAUAACCUUUUGUAGUUGCCUGCCGGGGUUCUCCACCUCCCCCCGGCCCCUCGAGCUUGCGCUAGACAGCAGGCGUCCCCGGUUCAGCACCAGGGUCUCGCCCACCUCCUGUGGCUGUGACUCUCCUCCGUGGCUGCGAUCUGAUACAAACUCUUGAAUUGUGUAAGGGCACACGUGGCCUGGGAGUGUGGCUGUCUUGGGCCCCCCAACUGAGCAGAAGGGCAGUGCUUUAUGAUGAGGACACUCUUAACGCCCUGAGAUGUUGUGCAUUUCUUCCAAAGGUCCUACCUCAGCAGUGUGCAGAGUUGAAAAGAUACCUGAGGGCUGAUCCAUAUAUCACCUGUCCAGUACAGGUCGUUCCUCAACCCAGGGCAUGGCUGGGUCUUGAUUCACUCCCCUCCACGCCUCCUUUUAAAGAGACAUUUUAACAUGAAAUCCACAAAAGCUGUUAACAGUGAACCAUCCUGCACUUUGCAGAGUGACUGCCCUUAGUUUUGGAGCUCGUUUAUUUCUUUUUUUUUUUCCCCUUUUUACAUGGGUAGAAUUUGUGGCUUCGCAGGGUGUUUGGGGGUCUCAAGAAAUUGUCUUUUGGUUGCCUUAGUUAAAAGAGUUGAAUGAGUGUACAAAUUUUGGUGGUAGAGGGGGGCGGAGGAGAAGAACCCUCCCGUGUCAGUUUUCUUUGAGAAAAGGAACUCCACUUUUCAGAGUUACUUGAGCCGUCCUUACAGGUUUGCUUGCGAUGGAAGGAAAAGUCCUUUGGACCAACUGAAAUCCAUCAUCACUACCAGCCCCCUUGCAAAAUGAGUAAGAUCUUUGAUGAUUAAGUAUUGAUAAUUCACUGGGUAUGUUCUGGCUACUACUGUUACCGAAAUCUGUAAUUACAUGUGUGCUCUUUUUUUUAAUUUGUUGCUUUUGUAUUUGUAUGACACCCAAAGCUUUUCUGUGUCUUACCUCUUCUUUAAUUAAUUUUCUGCACGUUGAUUUUUCCCCCCUCUGUUUUUAAUUCCGUAAAGAAUAUCCGAUUCUCAGAACACAUUAAACAUGGUUUGCCUGCUAGGGUCUGGCUUAUUUUAUA
ensembl:lncRNA